rnacentral:rRNA from 1 species
ACAUUCGAUUAGGUAGUUGGAAGGGUAGAAGCCUCCCAAGCCGACGAUCGAUAGUCAAGUUUGACAGAACAGAUGACCACAUUGGGAAUGAAGUGUCCCAAGUAGCAUUAAGCUACCAGCAGUCAAGAAUAUUAGUCAAUGCUCGCAAGAGUGAACUAGCUAACUGAAAUCAAAGGUGUGUCACCUUUGAUAAGGUAAGGGAAAAGAAAUGAUACUACCUUACUAUUAGUGUCGUCCAAGUACUCGUGCCAGAAGACUCGGUAAGGCGAGAGACGCAAACGUUAGUCGUCUUGAUCAGGCGUAAAGGGUUUGUAGGCGGCUUUAAGAAUGGAUUUCUUCUAAAUAACACUUUUAAAAAAGAACAAAGAAGAAAAAAAUCAAUUAAAGCUAGAAUCAAAAAGAGGUCAAAUUAAAUAAUACUUGGUGUAAGAUUGGUAUCUUUAAAAACCAAGCGGAAUACUAACGGCGAAGGCUUUUUUCCAAUAAUGAUUGACGCUGAGAAACUAAGGUGAGGACAGAAAAAAGGAUUAGAGACCCUCGUAUUCCUCACUGUCAACGAUGAAUGGUAGUUACUAGAAAGAAAUAUAAAAUAAAUAUUUAAAUAAUUCUAGAGACGAUGUUAACACGUAAACCAUUCCGCCUUGUGAGUACGACUGCAAAGUUGAAAACAAAAAAAUUAGUCGGUUUCGGAGCAAACGAAGUGAAGCAUGUUAUUUAAUACGAUACCCCGCGUAAAAUCUUACCAGUCCUUGCAUAAAACUUUGACUAUAGAUAGUUUUUUUUAAAUUGUUUAUAAUAAAAGGUUGUUCUAGUUCUAUUUUUAACAUUAGAAUAUGGACU